rnacentral:rRNA from 1 species
AGAGUUUGAUCCUGGCUCAGGAUGAACGCUGGCGGCGUGCUUAACACAUGCAAGUCGAACGAAGCACAUGAAGUUGACUCUUCGGAUGAUUCUUCUUGUGACUGAGUGGCGGACGGGUGAGUAACGCGUGGGUAACCUGCCUCAUACAGGGGGAUAACAGUUAGAAAUGACUGCUAAUACCGCAUAAGACCACAGCACUGCAUGGUGCAGGGGUAAAAACUCCGGUGGUAUGAGAUGGACCCGCGUCUGAUUAGCUAGUUGGUGAGGUAACGGCUCACCAAGGCGACGAUCAGUAGCCGACCUGAGAGGGUGACCGGCCACAUUGGGACUGAGACACGGCCCAAACUCCUACGGGAGGCAGCAGUGGGGAAUAUUGCACAAUGGGCGAAAGCCUGAUGCAGCGACGCCGCGUGAAGGAUGAAGUAUUUCGGUAUGUAAACUUCUAUCAGCAGGGAAGAAAAUGACGGUACCUGACUAAGAAGCCCCGGCUAACUACGUGCCAGCAGCCGCGGUAAUACGUAGGGGGCAAGCGUUAUCCGGAUUUACUGGGUGUAAAGGGAGCGUAGACGGUAUGGCAAGUCUGAUGUGAAAGGCUGGGGCUCAACCCCAGAACUGCAUUGGAAACUGUCAAACUAGAGUGUCGGAGAGGCAAGUGGAAUUCCUAGUGUAGCGGUGAAAUGCGUAGAUAUUAGGAGGAACACCAGUGGCGAAGGCGGCCUGCUGGACGACAACUGACGCUGAGGCGCGAAAGCGUGGGGAGCAAACAGGAUUAGAUACCCUGGUAGUCCACGCUGUAAACGAUGGAUACUAGGUGUGCGGGGACUGACCCCCUGCGUGCCGCAGUUAACACAAUAAGUAUCCCACCUGGGGAGUACGAUCGCAAGGUUGAAACUCAAAGGAAUUGACGGGGGCCCGCACAAGCGGUGGAUUAUGUGGUUUAAUUCGAAGCAACGCGAAGAACCUUACCAGGGCUUGACAUCCUACUAACGAAGUAGAGAUACAUUAGGUACCCUUCGGGGGAAGUAGAGACAGGUGGUGCAUGGUUGUCGUCAGCUCGUGUCGUGAGAUGUUGGGUUAAGUCCCGCAACGAGCGCAACCCUUAUUGUUAGUUGCUACGCAAGAGCACUCUAGCGAGACUGCCGUUGACAAAACGGAGGAAGGUGGGGACGACGUCAAAUCAUCAUGCCCCUUAUGUCCUGGGCUACACACGUAAUACAAUGGCGGUCAACAGAGGGAAGCAAAGCCGUGAGGUGGAGCAAACCCCUAAAAGCCGUCCCAGUUCAGAUUGCAGUCUGCAACUCGACUGCAUGAAGUCGGAAUCGCUAGUAAUCGCGGAUCAGCAUGCCGCGGUGAAUACGUUCCCGGGCCUUGCACACACCGCCCGUCA